rnacentral:rRNA from 1 species
ACCUUGGAAUCAGUUCAGCUGGAGAGUAAGUUAAGAUUAGGUAAGUAACUCUAUUCUUUUGAGUUAUCUGGUGUAUUUCCAGUAGGCCCUUGAAAUCUAGGGGAAUAAUUAUUUUCUUGAUUGUUCGUACUCAUAACCGCCGCAGGUCUCCAAGGUUAGAAGCCUCUAGUUUAAUAGAAUAAUGUAGGUAAGGGAAGUCGGCAAAAUAGAUCCGUAACUUCGGGGAAAAGGAUUGGCUCUAAGGGCUGAGUAUAUGGGUCUAUAGGAGGAUCCUAUAUGAUAGUAUUAGGACUACGAUUGACUGGAAACGGUUGAUUGUGGACUUGAUAAAGGAGUAUAGAGGGUGCUUAUAGAUGAAUAAUAGGGUCAAACUUAUUAUUCAUUUCUGUAUACAAUUAACAGCUAACUUAGAACUGGUACGGACAAGGGGAAUCCGACUGUUUAAUUAAAACAAGCAAAGUGAUGCUCUUGAGAAGAUGUUAACACUUUGUGAUUUUCUGCCCAGUGCUCUGAAUGUCAAAGUGAAGAAA